rnacentral:rRNA from 1 species
GACGAACGCUGGCGGCGCGCCUAAGACAUGCAAGUCGAGCGGAGUGCAACUCAUAUUUAAUAUGAGUUGCACUUAGCGGCGGACGGGUGAGUAACGCGUGGGUAACCUGCCCCUCAGCCCGGGAUAACCGUCGGAAACGAUGGCUAAUACCGGAUGCUGUAUACAUAUCGCAUGAUGUGUAUACGAAAGUUCAGGCGCUGAGGGAUGGGCCCGCGUCCCAUUAGCUAGUUGGUGAGGUAACGGCUCACCAAGGCGACGAUGGGUAGCCGGCCUGAGAGGGUGACCGGCCACACUGGGACUGAGACACGGCCCAGACUCCUACGGGAGGCAGCAGUCGGGGAUCUUCCACAAUGGGCGAAAGCCUGAUGGAGCGACGCCGCGUGAGGGAUGAAGGUCUUCGGAUCGUAAACCUCUGUCUUCCGGGACGACAAUGACGGUACCGGAGGAGGAAGCCACGGCUAACUACGUG